UUGGAAUGAGUAAGUAUAAACUCUUAACAGUAUCAAUCCGGAGGGCAAGUCCUGGUGCCAGCAGCCGCGGUAAUACCAGCUACCAAUAGCGUAUAUUAAAGUAUGUUGCAGUUAAAAAGCUCGUAGUUGGAUUUCUGUUAAUAAUUUAUAUAUAAUAUUACGGUAUUUAUAUAAUAUUAACAUAAUUCAUAUUACUUUAUUUUUAGAGUAUAUGAAAUUUUACUUUGAGAAAAUUAGAGUGCUUAAAGCAGGCAUAUGCCUUGAAUACUCCAGCAUGGAAUAAUAUUAAAGAUUUUUAUCUUUCUUAUUGGUUCUAAGAUAAAAAUAAUGAUUAAUAGGGACAGUUGGGGGCAUUUGUAUUUAACAGUCAGAGGUGAAAUUCUUAGAUUUGUUAAAGACAAACUAGUGCGAAAGCAUUUGCCAAGGAUGUUUUCAUUAAUCAAGAACGAAAGUUAGGGGAUCGAAGACGAUCAGAUACCGUCGUAGUCUUAACCAUAAACUAUGCCAACUAGAGAUUGGAGGUUGUUCUUAC
rnacentral:rRNA from 1 species